UACAGAGGUCCCAAGCGUUAUUCGGAAUUAUUGGGCGUAAAGGGCGCGUAGGCGGCUGAACAAGUCAAAGGUGAAAUCCCUCAGCUUAACUGGGGAACUGCGUCUGAUACUGGAUGGCUUGAGUGUGGGAGAGGAAUGCGGAAUUCCAGGUGUAGCGGUGAAAUGCGUAGAUAUCUGGAGGAACACCGGUGGCGAAGGCGGCAUUCUGGACCAUAACUGACACUGAGAGACGAAAGCCAGGGGAGCAAACGGG
rnacentral:rRNA from 1 species